CGCCAUUCUCCUGCCUCAGCCUCCUGAGUAGCUGGGACCACAGGCGCCGCCACCGCGCCUGGCUAACUUUUUGUAUUUUAGUAGAGACGGAGUUUCACCGUGUUAGCCAGGAUGGUCUCGAUCUCCUGACCUCGUGAUCGGCCCGCCUCGGCCUCCCAAAGUGCUGGGAUUAUAGGCGUGAGCUACCGCGCCCGGCCACAUAUCACCGCUUCUAUUGUGUGUUCACUCCACACCAAGCCUGAGUAAGGACUUUCUGUGCACGUUCUCAUUUCAUGCUUAUGACCCGCUGAGAAUUAAGAUCAUUUUGACCCCUGUCUUACAGAUGAGGAAGCUGAGGCCUGGUGCUCCUAAAGGGCUUGGUCAAGAGGCGGAGGUGGAGGUGGUGGAAGGCUGUUCCCCUGCGAAUCCAUGUUAUUGGAACAUUUCCAGGAAGCCCUUUGGUGGCACGCGAGACCUGGCUCCGUGGCCACUGGACAGAUCUCCUGAAGCAGAAGUUUUCCGUGACUCCUGGAACAUCACCUUCUCUACGGGGAGCCAAGAACUCCCAGGAAGGGGCGGGCCUUGGAAUGCACAAGCCACAUCUCUGUCCGCUCUGGGGUGACACUAAGAGAAAGAAGAAGGCAGCAGCUCUCAUCUCAAUGUGUGUUCAUCCCAUUCAUCACUAGGAGCCUCCGUUUCAGUGCGUUCGGUGAUCAGGAGAUGAUUGUAUCUUUGAUCAAAGGUGUUUGUAUCUUUCCUAAUGUACUGACAUUCACGGGCUGCACAUCUGGCAGAAGGGGAGAGAGCAAGACCUCUGGGACGUUGUUAUCUUGGCUGGAGUCCAGAUCCCAUUCUGAUGUCUUCAGUAGAUGACUUAACUUCUUCAGCCUCAGUUUCCUCUUUGUGACAUUGGAGAGAUGCUGUUACCCACCUCUUAAGGAUGUUAUAAAAUACCAGCACGUAAGAGCUGCUUUAAACUACGAAGAACUUUGUAAAUGGUGGUAUGGUUUUAUUUAAUAGGAAAAGAAUAUGAGCAGGAAAAACUAUAUUCAUUUUUAAGAUAUAAAAUGUGUGGAAAAUUACAGUGAAUAGAUUUUAUAACACAUCCUCUUUCUCUGUAUGCACUGCAGAUUUUCACAUAAUUUUAAAAAAAUCACCGUAUGUCUGGAAAUCUUGCCUUAAAGUAGGUCUUUUUAAAAAGAUACUAUUAGGUUGAACCACAUAAAAUUACCACUCGUUCAGUCAAAAAUGGUCAAAUAUAAGCAAUUUCAUGUGGUUUGUCUGGAUGUUUUUUCUCAAAAAAAGUUUUAGUUGGAGAUUGUAUUCCUUAAAAAAAUUGACAUCAAAUAAAUGAUAUGUUCAUGAUUAAAACA
rnacentral:lncRNA from 1 species